CCUACGGGAGGCAGCAGUGAGGAAUAUUGGUCAAUGGUCGGGAGACUGAACCAGCCAAGCCGCGUGAGGGAUGAAGGUACAGAGUAUCGUAAACCUCUUUUGUCAGGGAACAAAGGCGGGGACGUGUCCCCGGAUGAGUGUACCUGAAGAAAAUGCAUCGGCUAACUCCGUGCCAGCAGCCGCGGUAAUACGGAGGAUGCGAGCGUUAUCCGGAUUUAUGGGGUUUAAAGGGUGCGCAGGCGGUCUGUUAAGUCAGCGGUCAAAGCCCGGGGCUCAACCCCGGCCCGCCGUUGAAACUGGCAGUCUCGAGUUGGAGAGAAGUAUGCGGAAUGCGCGGUGUAGCGGUGAAAUGCAUAGAUAUCGCGCAGAACUCCGAUUGCGAAGGCAGCAUGCCGGCUCCACACUGACGCUGAGGCACGAAAGCGUGGGUAUCGAACAGGAUUAGAUACCCGGGUAGUC
rnacentral:rRNA from 1 species